GCCCUAGUGUGAUAGUAGUAGCAGUUUCAACAGCCAUUGCACAUGCUAUCAAUGCUCUGAGACACGCCGGCAUACCCUGUACCGGAGCUCGAACUACUUUGGAAAAGAAUGCUAUGGGACGCAUACCGCCUCCUUGCUCUUGUGCACAGACCGCGGCCAUGGUUUUACAGUUGUCCCGAGCAUACAAAUGAAAUGGUUUACAAUACACAGGUAGUCCUAAAGCCUGGGCUUGCACAAUAACAACUGUAAGGGCAAUAUAUGCAGCUAGCAUGUCUGGUGACCAGCAGACAUUUUCAGGGCUGUCAGAACGUACAGCCUCCCUUAGGAUUGAGUCAUAAUGGGAGCAUUCAGGGAUCCAUUGGCGGCAGUAAUUAAUCAUGCCGAGGAAGGUGAGCAACUCCUUCCGAGUAGUGGGUGUAGGAAUCCUCUGAAUGACCUCAAUACAUUUUGGACUCAAUUGUCUGGUGCCUAAAGCCAGAACAAAACCUAAGUAUUCAACCUUUGAUUUACACAAUUGCAUUUUGUGUUUAACAACCUUGUGACCUACAGUUGCUGACAGUAUCCACAGUGCUUGCCUCAGAGCUAGGGCUACAUAACAACAAAUCAUCAACAUUUUGCAAAAAGGACGGAACCAUGACCGGUGGUCCAUGUUUUUUAGAGUAUGUUGGAGUACCAACGAAUAAACAGCUGGGGAAUCCACAUAGCCUUGGGUAAGCGUGUCCAGGUAAACUGACAGCCUUCAAAAAGUAAAAACCAUAAGUAGCUGUGUCUCUUGAUCAAUAGGUAUAGAAAAAAAUGCAUUACUUAAAUCAAUGACAGUGAAGCAAGUGGCAUCAUGUGGAAUGGCUGUAAUGAGGGAUGUCACAUCAGGGACAAUGGGUGAAAUGGGCACAAUUAAACUAUUCAGGGCUCUAAAGUCCUGAACUAAGCGAUAUGCUGGCCAGUGGUGUUGGGAGUGGGUCUGGUGUUGUUCUUGCCUACAGGGCAUAUUUUGAGAAUUGUGGGGUUGGUGGGGUGUGUGGGGUUUGAUGGGGUUUCCUGGGGUGGGGACACUCAUUCCUCCAGUGGCCAUAUUGUCCACAGUUGAAACAAGUGUUCCUGUCUAUUCCUCCUUGGUUACCCCUGCCCCUAUAACCCUGAUUUCCCUGUCUCCAUCCCCUUGCCCCUCUUUGACCACCCCUUCCACGGGCUUUAUGUGCUCCAUCCCAUCCUCGCUCUCAG